UGUAGGGAUGCAUUGUGUGUUUCUGCCUCCCUGUCCCUUAGUGAUAUCCCCUCCCCUCCAGUCCAUUAGUGCUCUCCCCACCCGUCCCUUAGAGAUCCCCCCUCCUGUCACUUAGUGCUCUCCUCUCCCCUCCUGUCCCUUAGUGAUCUCCCCUGUUCCUUAGUAAUCUCCCCUACCCCUCUGGCCCUUAGCGCUCUCUCCUCCCCUCCCUUAGAGCUAUCCCCUACGUCCUAAGAGCUCUUCCCUGCCCCCUGUCCCUUAUUGGUCUCUCCCCUCUCUUCCCUGUCCCUCAGUGUUCCUCUCCCCUCUCUUCGUGGUCUCCCCCUCUUAGUGAUCCUUUCCAGUUCCCCCUACCCCCCCCCUUAGUGGUCCUCUCCCUCCCUCCUUAGUGGUCCCCCCCCUUAGUGGUCCUCCCUCUCCCCCACUCUUAGUGGUCCUCCUUUUCCCCAACCCCUUAGUGGUCCUCCAUCUCCCCCAACCAUCUUAGUGGUCCUCCCUCUACCCCCCUCUUUGUGGUCCUCC